rnacentral:rRNA from 1 species
AACGAACGCUGGCGGCAUGCCUAACACAUGCAAGUCGAACGAGACCUUCGGGUCUAGUGGCGCACGGGUGCGUAACGCGUGGGAACCUGCCCUUAGGUUCGGCAUAACUCCCCGAAAGGGGUGCUAAUACCGGAUAAUAUCUUCGAACACAAGAUGUAUCGCCUUUGGAUGGGCCCGCGUUGGAUUGGCUAGUUGGUAGGGUAAAAGCCUACCAAGGCGACGAUCCAUAGCUGGUCUGAGAGGAAGACCAGCCACACUGGGACUGAGACACGGCCCAGACUCCUACGGGAGGCAGCAGUGGGGAAUAUUGGAGAAUGGGCGAAAGCCUGAUCCAGCAAUGCCGGGUGAGUGAUGAAGGCCUUAGGGUUGUAAAGCUCGUUUAACCGGGAUGAUAAUGACAGUACCGGGAGAAUAAGCCCCGGCUAACUACGUG